rnacentral:rRNA from 1 species
CCAGGCUCCUACGGGAGGCAGCAGUGGGGAAUAUUGGGCAAUGGGCGCAAGCCUGACCCAGCAACGCCGCGUGAAGGAAGAAGGCUUUCGGGUUGUAAACUUCUUUUGUCAGGGACGAAGCAAGUGACGGUACCUGACGAAUAAGCCACGGCUAACUACGUGCCAGCAGCCGCGGUAAUACGUAGGCGGCAAGCGUUAUCCGGAUUUACUGGGUGUAAAGGGCGUGUAGGCGGGACUGCAAGUCAGAUGUGAAAACCACGGGCUCAACCUGUGGCCUGCAUUUGAAACUGUAGUUCUUGAGUACUGGAGAGGCAGACGGAAUUCCUAGUGUAGCGGUGAAAUGCGUAGAUAUUAGGAGGAACACCAGUGGCGAAGGCGGUCUGCUGGACAGCAACUGACGCUGAGGCGCGAAAGCGUGGGGAGCAAACAGGAUUAGAUACCCGAGUA